GUUUGCUGCUCAAUUACCCUGCCUUAAAAGCUUCUUGGUGAUAGCAAAGAUGUCCUUGGGCCAUCAACUGUUGUAGCAAACAGUGACGAAUCUCAACUUCUGACACCAGGAAAGAUGAGUCAGCGCCAAGGAAAAGAAGCUUAUCCAACGCCAACCAAAGAUUUGCAUCAGCCAUCUCUUAGUCCAGCAAGUCCUCAUAGCCAGGGUUUUGAAAGAGGGAAGGAAGAUAUUUCUCAAAAUAAAGAUGAAUCUUCACUUUCUAUGUCAAAGAGCAAGUCUGAAUCUAAACUUUAUAAUGGCUCAGAGAAGGACAGUUCAAC
rnacentral:lncRNA from 1 species